UUAACUCAAACAUGUAUGGUGUUGGAAUAGCUUCCCAUCGUUUGCCGCUAGGGGCGCUGUUCCAACUCCAUACAAAUUUGAGUUA
rfam:Bombyx mori DNA, contig: Bm_scaf7_contig6653, strain: p50T/Dazao, build 2, whole genome shotgun sequence.